rnacentral:lncRNA from 1 species
CCAGGACAAGAGGUGAGGAGCCUCUAACUGCGUGGUCCCGCCCGCGGGUCAACUGGCGGUCAGAUCCUCUUGACGACCUUCUCCAGCGAUACCUCCGUCGUCAUUCUCUCAGAGCCACAUUUAAACUACUCAAAAUUCCAUCUGGAAUUCAAGACCUCACAGGAAAAUGAAACAUGAAGUGCCAACAUUUUGCUUUACAAAGCUUUU